UCUCCGUUGGUGAACCAGCGGAGGGAUCAUUACCGAGUUUACAACUCCCAAACCCAAUGUGAACCAUACCAAACUGUUGCCUCGGCGGGGUCACGCCCCGGGUGCGUCGCAGCCUCGGAACCAGGCGCCCGCCGGAGGGACCAACCAAACUCUUUCUGUAGUCCCCUCGCGGACGUUAUUUUUACAGCUCUGAGCAAAAAUUCAAAAUGAAUCAAAACUUUCAACAACGGAUCUCUUGGUUCUG
rnacentral:misc_RNA from 1 species